UACGAAGGGGGCUAGCGUUGCUCGGAAUCACUGGGCGUAAAGCGCACGUAGGCGGACUCUUAAGUCGGUGGUGAAAUCCUGGAGCUCAACUCCAGAACUGCCUUCGAUACUGAGAGUCUUGAGUCCGGGAGAGGUGAGUGGAACUGCGAGUGUAGAGGUGAAAUUCGUAGAUAUUCGCAAGAACACCAGUGGCGAAGGCGGCUCACUGGCCCGGUACUGACGC
rnacentral:rRNA from 1 species